AUACGUAGGGGGCGAGCGUUGUCCGGAAUGGUUGGGCGUAAAGGGCGCGUAGGCGGCGCGGUAAGUCUGGAGUGAAAGUCCUGCUUUCAAGGUGGGAAUUGCUUUGGAUACUGCCGCGCUUGAGUGCAGGAGAGGUUAUCGGAAUUCCCGGUGUAGCGGUGAAAUGCGUAGAGAUCGGGAGGAACACCAGUGGCGAAGGCGGGUAACUGGACUGCAACUGACGCUGAGGCGCGAAAGUGUGGGGAGCAAACAGGAUUAGAUACCCUGGUAGUCCACACUGUAAACGAUGAAUGCUAGGUGUAAGAGGUAUCGACCCCUUUUGUGCCGGAGUCAACACAAUAAGCAUUCCGCAUGGGGAGUACGGCCGCAAGGUUGAAACUCAAAUGAAUUGACGGGG
rnacentral:rRNA from 1 species